rnacentral:rRNA from 1 species
AUACGUAGGUGACAAGCGUUAUCCGGAUUUACUGGGCGUAAAGGGCGUGUAGGCGGUCUUGCAAGUCAGAAGUGAAAUUCCUGAGCUCAACUCGGGCGCUGCUUCUGAAACUGCAGGACUUGAGUGCUGGAGGGGAUAGCGGAAUUCCUAGUGGAGCGGUAAAAUGCGCAGAUAUUAGGAAGAACACCGGUGGCGAAGGCAGCCUUCCGGCCCGUCAACGACGCUCAUGCUCGAAGGUGCGGGUAUCAAACAGGAUUAGAUACCCUGGUAGUCCGCACAGUAAACGAUGGACACCCGCGGUUUGGCCUGUAUGGCUGAGCCGCCAAGCGAAAGCGUUAAGUGUCCCACCUGGGGAGUACGCCGGCAACGGUGAAACUCAAAGGAAUUGACGGGG